AAAUAAAAAAAAAAACCUUUUGUUCCUUUUUCUACCAGUUCAAAUAUUCCUGGUGUUUCAUUUAUUGAUGAUUGUAGUCGAGUGAAAUGACUUUACCUCUUGAAAAAUAAAUCUGAUGUUAGCAUUGUAAUAGGCCAUUUUUGGGCCUGACCCAAACCCAAAUAAUAAAACACAAAAAAUAAUUAAUGCCAAAACUCAAUUCUUUUUACAAGCCCAUAUUACCCUACCCCAAAUUACAAAAUAAAGUAACAGGCCUAAAAUUCCAAACCCAAACAGCCCCAAAAAAAAAAAGAGAGAAAAAACCCUAGCUAGCCGCCGCUCUUGCCCUAGCUUCUGCCGCCACCUGCUCUCCCACGCGUCCCCUCCACGUCACCGCCGUACAGUCCCUCCGUACCUAUAAGGAUGAACCAAACAUGAGCAAACAAUGAAGAUAAUAACAGUUGUAAAAUGGUGGCUAUAAGAGCCCUAAAAAAACAGUGUAGAGGAUUUUUUCCUUUUACGAAUAUACAAUUAAAAAAUAGAAAUCAAAAAAUACAACGAGUUCAGAAUUUUUUUUUUUGAAGGUAGUCUCUCGAUUAUUUUGUUUAUAGUCUCUUUUUUCUUUUUUUCUUUCUUUUUCCUCUUGAUCCAAAAGUAAGAAACAGAAUAAAAAAGAGAAAAGUUCAAAAACUUACCUUUUGCGCCAUCGCGAGAUUGAGGUACCGAUUCCGAUGAAAAUCGGUGUUUUUUUGGCCUUGGAAUCGAAAACCCCAAAAAAAGUGGGGCCUUUUCAGUUUUCGGCCACCGUGUACGGCGGCCGCCACGGUGGUCCGGCGUCGGGGCAGGCUGGAUUCUGGGAAUUGAAGGAGAUGGGGGAGAGGUUUUUCUGAUAUUUUUGGAGAACAAAGGAAGAAUUGAGGGUUUUUUUUUAAAUUUUGGUUUUUAUAGAGGACCUAGACGGCGCCGUUUUGGGCCUUAACCUCAGUGGCCAAAACGACGCCGUUUCACUCCUAUAACCCGCGAGCCGACCCGCUUCUACCUCAGGUCCGCGUGCUUUCUAUGGAAGGGUCUAUUUGUGCGUUAGACCCUUCCGCCUUUUUAAUUAUUUAGCGAUUCAGUUUUUUUUUUUUUACCCCUGCAUUUUAUUUUACUUCAAUUCGAUCCCGAAGUGAACGACGCCAUUUAGAUAGCGUGGGAAAAUUUCCCAUUUGACCGUCUGUUAUUUACACGUAAGUUACUUUGGUCCUAUUUUGAUUUAAAUCUUUAAUUUUAUCAUAAAUUUCGCCCCGAAUUUCCUUCUGUUUUCAAUGUAACCCUUUGACUAACUUAUUUUAUUUUCUAUCUAUUAGUCUUUCUAUCUUUCUUUUUUUUUAUUUUUUUAUUUUUAUAUCUUCUUUCGGCCUUAAUAUUUCUUUUAUUAAAUUGUUUGUUUCAUUUUCUUUGCUAUUAUGAUCCAUGAAGCUAUUUGCAUGAACACUU
rnacentral:lncRNA from 1 species